rnacentral:lncRNA from 1 species
ACCUUUUGGCCCACUGAGGUUCUGCCAGGCCUCGCAAAGCAAGAAGCCAUGAGCCGGCUCACCCAAAGGAGCCUAGAAACCCUUGGACAGGCAGGGCUUCCACGGAGCCAGAACCCUCCUGUCUUGGUGGGUCCCGGACGCUGCGUUUCAGCGAGGGCCCAGGAGACCAGGGCUUUCCAAACUAACAUGUGUGUGAGUCACCUGGGGAGCUUGUUAAAUAGUGAACUCUGAUCUUAUAAGUCUGAUCCACCAGGGCCCGAGAUUCUGAUUCCCAAACAGCUUCCAAGUGAUGCUGAUGCUGCUGGUCUGGCCAGCCUUUGAGUGGCACAAGGCACAAGGAAUUUAUCUGGAAUUCUGACUUUUCCCUGAAAAGUCACACCCUGGAGCGGGCACACCUAACUUCUCUGGCUCCUGUCUCCAGGACCCGGGUCUUGAAUCAUUCGGAAAAGCCGGCUAAAUCGUCAAAGACAGAUCUCUCUGUGCUGCCUCUACCGAUAUGUCACUGGGAGCAUCCAAGAAUCACUCCUUACUUCUAGAAGUUCAUCCACAGAGCAACUGUCUGUAUUUUGGCCCUGCUCACUCUCCUGCCCUCCUGACUGCAGGGUCCAGCUGCCCCCAAUUGCCUGGCCCACAGCCCCUCUAACUUAGGAGGUCUAAAGGCAAACUCCCCAUCCCCCCAACCUGCUCCUCCUCCCAUGUUCCCACCACAGGGAGGACACUUCGGUCCACGCCCUCCCCCGGGCCUCUGGACGUUACCUCCUAAACAGCUCUCACAGCUGCCCUCCUGUCCUCCUUGCCCCGUCACUGCCCCGAUUCCAGCUGUAUCAUCUUCUCUUCAGUUCUGCAGUGGUUUCCUGACCAGACCCCCAGCCUCACCGUCCGCCAUUUUGUGUCUGUUUCCAUCUUCUCCACCAGCCAAUGAACUCCUAGAGCGCCGUGGCUCUUAACCAUGCUCAGGGGCUGCCCCACAGUAGGUGUUUAAUCAAUGCUCUCUGUGUGAAGGAAUGAGUGAGGAGCCAUGAUGUCCAGACCUGGUUCUGUUGACUCACUCACUGAUCUUGCUGAGCUCUUUCUCCUCCCUGGCCUCACUCUGCUUAUCCGAAAUGGUACCCAAAGAUCCUCAAACAUCAGGUUUGAGAUCCUAUGAGGGGAGUAAGAUACUCCCCCGCGUACCACUCCCUCAGGGGCAGCUGGAACAGCUGAGUGUCCCAUGAGAGAACUGCCCUGCGGCUCUCCUAAGCACAGGGUGACAG